rnacentral:rRNA from 1 species
AGCAGCCGCGGUAAUUCCAGCUCCAAUAGCGUAUAUUAAAGUUGUUGCAGUUAAAAGCUCGUAGUUGAAUUUCGGGAUCAAUACGUUGGUCGUGCUUUCGGGUACGUACUGGCGUCAUUGGUUUCUCUCUUCUGACGAACCAUGAUGUCAUUAGUUUGGUGUUAUGGGGAGUUAGGACUGUUACUUUGAAAAAAUUAGAGUGUUUAAAGCAGGCUCACGCUUGAAUACAUUAGCAUGGAAUAAUGAAAUAGGACGUUUGAUUCUAUUUUGUUGGUUUCUAGGAUUGACGUAAUGAUUAAUAGGGAUAGUUGGGGGCAUUAGUAUUCAAUUGUCAGAGGUGAAAUUCUUGGAUUUAUUGAAGACUAACUACUGCGAAAGCAUUUGCCAAGGAUGUUUUCAUUAAUCAAGAACGAAAGUUAGGGGAUCGAAGACGAUCAGAUACCGUCGUAGUCUUAACCAUAAACUAUGCCGACUAGGGAUCGGAUGAUGUUAAUUUUUUAAUGACUCAUUCGGCGCCUUA